rnacentral:rRNA from 1 species
UGCGUAGGCGGUCUUUUAAGUCAGGAGUGAAAGGCUACGGCUCAACCGUAGUAAGCUCUUGAAACUGGAGGACUUGAGUGCAGGAGAGGAGAGUGGAAUUCCUAGUGUAGCGGUGAAAUGCGUAGAUAUUAGGAGGAACACCAGUAGCGAAGGCGGCUCUCUGGACUGUAACUGACGCUGAGGCACGAAAGCGUGGGGAGCAAACA